rnacentral:lncRNA from 1 species
GGAUAAUCUUGAUUUCUUGGUUAAUGUCAUGCAAUAUAUCAUCUUGUGAUUGAUGUUGGCAGUUGUUUCAUGAUUUCCUGUUGCAUCGGUGGCCUGGCGAUUCUCUCAUUUUCGACCAACACCUUGAGUUCUUAAUACAAUCUGGCUCCAUUGCAGAGUAUAUUUGUUUUUUCAUGAAGGGUUUUCUCGCUUUGAUUAUUGAAUUGAUUGUGCUAAUUUUUGGCCUUUAUGCUUUUAGUUCAGGUCUUUCUUAGUUUGUUAUUUGUGAUGUUGCAGAAGAGCUUACGCAACUUGGGAAAAUCUUGCUGAAGGGGUAUCUUCAUCUGAUAAUUGAAGGAAGCGCAGAGGAAAUGGAAUGCAAUGAUAUGUUUUUUUUUUUUUUUUACUGAAUUGAGUUUCUAAUCUUGAUAGCGGGGUUCAUUAUGCUUGCCUUUUCGUGCGGUAGCUGCUCAUGUGGAAACAUAAAGGUUAAUUUAUUAUUUGUGCUGUUGCAGUUUAGCUUGUGCUGCAGGAUACAAUUUUGCCCCAUAUUAGCCAAUAUAGACGAUUCAUAUCAUUGUUUGUAUAUGAUGCCUAUAUGUUUUUAAUCACCCUUUUUUCUAAAAGGAAUUUAAGUGGUUCAGGUAUAUUAUGAAACUGGAAGUGCCUCUUCAUUAAUCUACAGGAAUCAGCAGUGUUGUGUUUUAAUUGGAUUCUGAUUGUUGCCCAUCCUACUGUACAAGUUCAGGCUUGCUUCAUGAUUUUCUUAUAUUUGGUUGAAGAAUUGUUGGGGGAUUAUGAAAUUUUAGUUUUUUUUAAAUAUAUUAAGGUCCAUUUGAAAAUACCACAGAAGCAUUAUCUUGCGGACCAGAGAUGCAUGAUUUAGAGGCUGGAAUUCAGAUAGAUUGAUUUCUUGUGAAGGGGGUUUGUCUAUCGCAUGGAUAUGAUGAAAAUAUUAUUGUGCAGGAAGCAAAGACUUCUGAUGAUGUUCAUGCCUAAUCAUGGUUCUUGAUUCUUGAUGGUUGCUUUAGGUUCCAUCGUGAAAGGGAUGCCCUUGUUAUCCAAUUCAAACAAAAGAGAUGGUGUAGAUGCAGGGAAUCAGAUUGUUUCUUUUCGAGUGGAUUCCUUUUCCUUUUGUAUUAUUCUUUAUCAGAUAUUGUGUUUUGAAUAAUUGGUUUGAUUCUGAGAAGAUAUAUGCGAUCAGAGAGAUGAUUCAUUUAACCUCCUGUUUUUUAUGAAUUUUGCAGUUAUAUUCAUUGAAGUGUCAAAUUGCACUGAUUCUUUUACCUGAUUAGAGCUAUCACAAGCUGGUUUGAUAGAAUGAUAAAUUCGAUUUCCUUGGCUUGCUGUCACUUCAUAGGUUAAGCAUUGUGGGAACAUGAUAUUUCUACUCUUCCUGCUGCUUAAUUGGUUGUUACUUGAGCUUACAUUGUUGACUGGUUCAUCUUGGUUUACCAGAAUACCGAGUCAUUACUUGUUGGAGAUGCAGACGCUGGAGAAUGGAUUUCGGAUGUGGGAUUUGUUCACCAAUAUAAUAUAUAUUUCGAUUAUGGUGUACUUUCAUCAUGUUGAUCAAUCAGGGUUAUUGACAAAUUAACUUAGUGCAUUUGCUUUUUAUGAUUCAGAGGAUGCUGCAAAUAGAAGCAAAAGAUGUCCUACUCUUUUUUGUCCCAUGUGUUGUUGAGUGUGGCCAUUACUUCUGUUGUUACUGUAGUAUUUGGAAGGAUGUGGUGGGCAUCAUCUUCAAAAGGUUGGGUCAUUCGAUGCCUUCCUAGAUACAAGGUAUUUGAGGUUUUCAUUAUUGGUCAGGACUACUUUUUCCCCUUGUAUAUUGAUUUUAUAGGACUCAUCCACCUUUCAAGUCCUUUCACAGUUCUUCUUCAUUCUUGGGUUGUAUUAUUGGCUCAUCUUUCUGAUCCAUUAGUGCUCACAAUCGUGGUUUAUGCGUUAUUUGCGGUUCUCUGGUGUAUUUGUUCUCUUGCAUUUCUUUUCCAUUCUCCCUCCAAGCAAGUUUAGGUUUGUCUGUUAUAAUUCUGAUACACUGCAUCUGCUAUUAUACUUUCGGUGGUGAUCCCUUUUACAUCGAGUGCUUAUCUAGAUCUGGGAUAAUCUUGAUUUCUUGGUUAAUCUCAUGCAAUAUAUCAUCUUGUGAUUGAUGUUGGCAGUUGUUUCAUGAUUUCCUGUUGCAUCAGUGGCCUGGCGAUUCUCUCAUUUUCGACCAACACCUUGAGUUCUUAAUACAAUCUGGCUCCAUUGGAGAGUAUAUUUGUUUUUUCAUGAAGGGUUUUCUCGCUUUGAUUAUUGAAUUGAUUGUGCUAAUUUUUGGCCUUUAUGCUUUUAGUUCAGGUCUUUCUUAGUUUGUUAUUUGUG